CUGGUUGAGGAGACUUCUGCUCGUGCAGCUGUCGUUUUUAACGGACGUUUUCCACGGAGCUAUGAGGACUUUAAUAACAGAAAUCUUUCGGACAUAAUUUGAAUAAUAUGCAUUCAGAUGCUGCUUUCAUCUGUCUAUGGAUUCUUAUCACAAAUGGUGUGUUUGAUGUUAAAACAGAUGAAGUGAAGUCAGUGUCAGUGACUGAAGGAGAUUCUGUCUCUCUAAACACUGAUGUUAAAGUACAGACAGAUGAUAUGGUACGGUGGACGUUUGGACCUCAAAACACUAGAAUAGCUGAAAUCAUUAAAAGAGACCAAAUUAACUUUAUUUAUGUCAGUAAUGAUGGGAGAUUCAGAGACAAACUCCAGAUGGACAAUCAAACUGGAUCUCUGACCAUCAGAAACAUCAGAUCUGAACACUCUGGACUUUAUAAACUGACCGUCAUCAGUGGAGAAACCUCACUUAAGAGCUUCAGUGUAACGGUGUAUGCUCCUCUUCCCUUUCCUGUCAUCACCAGAGACACUUCAAACUGUUCAUCUUCAUCAUCAUCAUCAUCUAAACGUUCAUCAGUGUCUAGAUGUGUGCUGCUGUGUUCAGCUGGGAAUGUGAGUGCUGUGACUCUCUCCUGGUACAAAGGAAACAGUUUAUUGUCCAGCAUCAGUGUGUCUGAUCUCAGCAUCAGUCUCUCUCUACCUCUGGAGGUGGAAUAUCAGGAGAACAACAUCUACAGCUGUGUGAUCAACAAUCCCAUCACAAACCAGACUCAACACAACAUCAACAUCACUCAACUCUGUCACACGUGUGAAGAACCUCUCCGUUCCUAUUUCAUACCACUGGUAGUUGGUUUAUUGUUGCUGGCAGUUCUUUUGGGCGUGAUUCUGUUUUGUCUCAUCAAGAACCGUAAAAAAACAACACAACCUGUUGAAAAUGAAGACACACAUUAUGCUACAGCAACAUUCGUUGCACAUCCUUUUCAUCAUACGAAACCUAGUGGAGAAGACAACAUAGUGUACUCAAGUGUUGCAACACCUAAGGAAUGAAAUAUUUGUGAUGUUUUUGUCUUAAAAAAGAAAAAAAUCCAACUGCCAUACAGAGCAGUGUUUCUCAACUGAAACUGGCGGUUCAUGAGCCCAGUAUUUAAGGAUACAUAUGUGAGGGAUGCAAUGUUGCAUGCAGAUGUUGAAAUGCAGCAUGUAAAAGUGAAAUCAUGUGAUUUGGAAAAUGGAAGAAUUUAGAAACUAGUGAUCAUAUUCAGCCCAUUUCAUGUUAAUAAUUGAUUUGCAGCUCAUCGUAAUAUUGAUCCAUUUCAGCAUUCAAGCUGAUUUUAGUAGUAUUACUGUCACUUAAGAAUUAUUAGCAAUUUUGGUCAAAUGUCUGAAGUAAAACUUGAAAAUGAAACCAGUUUGAGAAUCACUAAGGUAAAAUACAAAUGUAUUAUUUUUUUGUUAUUUAUUUCCACACUGACAUGUCAUUGUUAAAAUCUAAUUCUGACUUUCAGCUGAGUUUUCGAAGACUAUCACUGACAGAUAACUGUACAAGGAGUCAUGUAUUUCAGGGACUUUUGUCACUUUGAGACAAUCCAAAUAAUCGAUCUUAAAAAGGUCUGAGAACGAGUGGAUUCUGUAACAGCUUCAUAAUGCAAAAGAACUGCCUACACAACAGAGUUAACUUGUCUUGACUUGAUCUCUUGAGUUCAUGCUCUACAGCUGCCUUCAAGUUUCAGUGUUUGUGUAUUUUAUAUUUCAGCAUUAUUUCAUGAAUAUUGCACUGAAUUAAAUGUAUGUUUGUUGUGCUUUA